UGGGGAUAAGAAAAUAAUCAGCAGUAAUCAAAAUAGCUCUUCUUAUAAAAUUUAUACAUUUAUUGUAUGUGUGUACAUGCAUGCAUGUGGAGGUCAGAGGAAAACUUGUGGGAGCUGGUUCUUUUUUCUACCAUGUACAUCUUUGGGGUCAAACUUGUCACAGGCACUUUGAACCCCUGAGCUAAAACAGCCAUUUUUAUGGCACAUGGAGUCUUACCAGGGGAGGGAAACAAUAAAUAAGUGGUUAAAAACAUUGUGUUGCAGGUAGUAAUAAGUACUAUUGAGAAAGUGGAGAACAGUGUGAUAAGGGCUCCCAAGAGGGAAGAACAUAGGGGUUUUUUUUAUAAUUAAUUAAUUUACUUUUACCAGUAGAAGAUUAUCUAGGAAGGUGGUAUAUGAGUAAAGACCCAAAGGAGUGAGAAGAAACCCCAGGGAUGUCUGUGUGAAGCAGUAGGAACGUUAGUGAGGUGGUGUUUCCCUGUUAUAUCUCCAGAGGAACGUAGCAGGCAAGCCAGUGUGUCCAGUGUGAAGAGAACAUGAAAGCAAGUAGGAAGAAAUGAGGCUAGGAGGGUGGCAGAGUAGACUCUGGAACACUCAGGCUCUUACCACCCCUUGUAAGAACUUUUAAAGGCACCAGACGCUUCUACAGAACUGAAUUGUGAUCUGGCUUGUGCAAUCAAGAUCAUUUUUCCUAUUGCUGAAGAAGAGAAAAUAAGUAAAGGGGCUGUUGCAAUCCUGAAGCAGAAAUAGUGCUUGUUUUAUUUUUGUUUGUUUUGUUUUCCACGAUAAAUGAGAGUGGGCGAGGGGGGCCAGCAGCUUGCAUUUGGACAUAUUAAGUUUGAAAUGCAGAGCAGACAUCCAAGUAGACAUGUCAACAGCUUGCUGGGGAUCCAAGUCUGUAGUUCUGGGCAAAGGCCUGGGCUGGAGUUCUGUCUGAGUUGUUAGCAUACAGUGUGUACAGCCAAGCGACAAGUCAGAUGAAGUCAGAAACUAGAGGAAAACAGAAAAGGGGAGUCAUGGAUGAGAGAAUUAUGGAGCCGCACCAGCAUUAAAGAUGUGGACCUUGAGGAAGGAUCUUCAGCAAAGGAUGCUGGGAAGGAGUUAGUGAGGCAGGCAGAAACGCAGGUGUGAUUUCCAGAAGGGAGAUGAAGAGAGAAUCAAUUAUGCCAAGUGCUGUUGAUAGAAAGUUGAGUGAGGACUGGUUACUGAUUAUGUCUGAUGCGCUAAUUUAGCCUCUCCGUUCUUCAGUCUCAGCUUACUCCUUCAAAUCUCAUCCAAGCGCAUUUUUUUUUUUGGUACCUCUCUGCAUCAGCCAGCAUUUCCACAUCCUUUUGUCUCUUCUUGCAGAAAUCCUUCAAGCCUUCACCACCUGUUCUCCAGAUCACAGCAGUAAAUGGCUGCAGUGCCAGAAGUCUUAUGCAGAAGCCUUUUUAUAAAGGGAAGGUGAUCAGACAAAGGAAGCCUGUGAAGUUUGAUAUUGAUAUAUAUGUAUUCUAAGGAGUUUAAAAUAUAACCAUUCUAAUGCACUAGCUACCAUAGAAAUACUGAUUAAAAUAAGCUGGCUACCCCACUCCCCUAAACCAAAUUGGCAUUUUAAAAGGCAUACUCUGCUAUGGACAAGACAUAGCAGGCAUGCCUUGCCUUGCUGGUGGAAGUGUUAAUUGCUAAAACUUUUCCAAGGGCAGCUUGGUAACACAGAAGAAUAAUUUUUGUAGGUUUUUGUUUUCUUGACACUUUUGGGUCCAAUAAUUUUUCCUUUAACAGUUUAUUGUAAGGAAAGCACCAUCUAGACUUCUAUAAAACGAUGCUCACAUCAGUGCUGUUUCUUAUACAACUUAGGAUAUGGAAUUAAGUAAAACUUUCUAUUUCUGUAGAACACUGAAACUCCUGAGUAUUGUUUCUGACAAGACUUACAGGCAUAAAACAGCAAAGAAAAUCAAAAUCAUUUAAUAUUCCACUUUAGAGCGUAAGUCAGCAAAUUCUGACACAGAUUCAGAACAAAACUCCUGCAGAAAAAGAAUUUUAACAAUAAGGGAACCUGCCUACAAAAUGUAGUCAAAGAAAAAAAAAAAGAAAUGAAACUAACUAUAAAAUGAUGCUAUGAUUCUACUGUUUAAAAGAAAGAGAAUAGAAAAAAUAUUUAAAAAUCUAUCAAUAAAAGUCUCACUAGUAAUCAUUUCAAGAUUCUCAAUAAUAAUUAUUCUUUAACCUGCUUGACCUUGUUGGACUUUUUACUCAUUCUAGAAUUUUGCUGAGGGCCCGCCAUGCAGAUAUUUGGGAUUCAUUAAUGAGAACAAAUAAUUCCCACCCUUGAGUGUUUACAACCUAUUGAAGAGACACAGCUGAUAGACUGUAAUGAAGAAGAAAUUAUAUAACCUCUUAUAAGAGGUGAUGAGUGCUGGAGGAAAACAGUAAGUGCAAACAAGGGGCUGCAAGUGUAUGGCUGUGUGAUGGUUAACCUUCAUCAUCAGCUUGGCUUGAUUAGGAGUCACCAUGAGAGAACACCUCUUGGCAUGACAGUGUGGGCAUUUCCAGAAAUGUUUAACUGAAAAAGGAAGACUCACCCUAAAUGUGGGCAGCACUGUCCCUGAGCUAGAGUUCCAGACUGAUUGAGGAGAAAGCCAGCUGAGCACCAGUGUUCAUCUCUCUAGGCUUCCUGACUGUGGUUGCCAUGUGACCAGCUACCACAUGCUCCUACAGCUCCAUCAUCCCUGCCAUCCCUGUAGCAUUAAACUGUGAGCCAAAAUAAACCCUUCUUUCCUGAAGUGGCUUUUGUCACCUCUCUUGUCAAAGCAAUGAGAAAAAUAAGGAGCAUGGACCGCAGCUUUCAAUCCAGCAGUCAUGGCGGAUCUCACCGAAGAGGAGGCAUUUAAGGAAAACAUUACAGACAUGAGGGAUUACCACCUGAAUGUUGAGGAAGAAACCUUCCAGUUGUUACAUAAAUGGAUAAAAUAGAAUUUUUCCUCCAACCAAGGCUAGAAGUGAGGCAGAAUAUUCAAUAUGAAAAAUGCCUGUGAAGCAAAUCCCACAGCUCCAUGAUGACAAAAGCCUGCAGUCUUAGAAUCCAAGUGAAUAGAUAUGCCUCCUCUCUUUUGUGAGAUCCCACAGAAAUACAUGAAAUUAUAUUAAUGAGAAAGAAGCUAUAACAUGCAUGUACAUUGAAAAGAGCCAGCAAGAGAAAACAUUGUCUUGAAUGGGAGAAGAAAAAGAACAAAAUAGAUUGAAUUGGUGGAAAAAUGCAACAAGGUAUUCAGAAUAUAUUAAUGGGGCUAAUAAAUAUUCUCCAAAUGAAGUGAAAUUGCCAGAAGAAAUAAAAAUGUGGGAUCAGCAGAAGCCAAAAUCAGAAGCAACUCAAAAGACCUCCAUCUUGGAAUGGUGGAGCUCUGUCUUCUUCUUCUUCUUCUUCUUCUUCUUCUUCUUCUUCUUCUUCUUCUUCUUCUUCUUCUUCUUCUUCUCCU